CUGAAUUUCAUGUGUUUGAGCUGAUGUAAAGAUGCAGUGAUGAAGAAGUUGACUGUUUGCAGAUAUUUCAAUAGCAAACGUCAAGUUUUCAGUUCUUGUUUGUCCACUGGCUGAUACGUAACAUUUUUCCCAGGAUUUACAAAUGAAGGACGGCUCAACCUAACACAUUGCUACAUUUGUGGAGUUAGAUGGUAUUUAAAGAGAGGAUGCUUCCAAGAUAUUUACUACAACACAAUAAGGAGUAGACUAUAGAUUGGUAUGGCUGAGUAGUUGUAUAAGGAGUGUUGAGAUACUUCCAGAUGUACACAUAGAUGCAGACAGCAAUUUUCAACCUCAAGAUCUGCACAUUUUUGAUAUAAUAUCAAAUUUUGAACAACAAAGAAAGGAAGUAAAUGAUAAAUAGAGGGAAGAAUUUGGGGGUUAUCGAGUUCUGUUGACAAAAAGAUUUACAGGAUAACAAAUGUUGUUAGAUGCAAGGUCAUACAGAAUAGAGAUUAGUUUAUUAAACUUUAAUACAUUUACAUGUAUACCGAACAAUUGGAUAGUUGAAAGCAUGCGAAAAAUUCUCAUUAAAGAAUAAAAGAUUUGGCAAACUGACAAGUUUCAUUUCUUUAGCUAACUUCACUUAGUUGCAAUUCAAUGUUCAUUCAAAAUAAGAUUAUUCAUCAAAAAGUACCUCAAUUUUGUUUCAAUUAUGUAUCCUUAUAAAUUUGCGCUUUUAAUGAAGGCUU